rnacentral:rRNA from 1 species
UACGUAGGUGGCAAGCGUUGUCCGGAUUUACUGGGCGUAAAGAGCGCGCAGGCGGUCGUUCAAGUCGCGUGUGAAAGCCCCCGGCUCAACUGGGGAGGGUCACGCGAUACUGAUCGACUCGAAGGCAGGAGAGGGAAGUGGAAUUCCCGGUGUAGUGGUGAAAUGCGUAGAUAUCGGGAGGAACACCAGUGGCGAAGGCGACUUUCUGGGCUGCACCUGACACUCUAGUGCGAAAGCGUGGGGAGCAAACAGG